AUUGCUUUGUCAGAAUAUAUCCUAAAAUUGGAACGAUACAGAGAAGAUUAGCAUGGCCCCUGGACAAGGACGACACACAAAUUCGUGAAAUAUUCCAUAUUUUU